rnacentral:rRNA from 1 species
UACGAAGGGGGCUAGCGUUGCUCGGAAUCACUGGGCGUAAAGCGCACGUAGGCGGAUUGUUAAGUCAGGGGUGAAAUCCUGGAGCUCAACUCCAGAACUGCCUUUGAUACUGGCGAUCUCGAGUCCGGGAGAGGUGAGUGGAACUGCGAGUGUAGAGGUGAAAUUCGUAGAUAUUCGCAAGAACACCAGUGGCGAAGGCGGCUCACUGGCCCGGUACUGACGCUGAGGCGCGAAAGCGUGGGGAGCGAUCCGG